AUUGAACGCUGGCGGCAUGCUUUACACAUGCAAGUCGAACGGUAACAGGUUAAGCUGACGAGUGGCGAACGGGUGAGUAAUGCAUCGGAACGUGCCCGGUCGUGGGGGAUAACGCAGCGAAAGCUGCGCUAAUACCGCAUACGAUCUGAGGAUGAGAGCGGGGGACCGUAAGGCCUCGCGCGAUCGGAGCGGCCGAUGUCAGAUUAGGUAGUUGGUGGGGUAAAGGCUCACCAAGCCAACGAUCUGUAGCUGGUCUGAGAGGACGACCAGCCACACUGGGACUGAGACACGGCCCAGACUCCUACGGGAGGCAGCAGUGGGGAAUUUUGGACAAUGGGCGAAAGCCUGAUCCAGCAAUGCCGCGUGCAGGAAGAAGGCCUUCGGGUUGUAAACUGCUUUUGUACGGAGCGAAAAGGUCUCCUCUAAUACAGGGGGCUCAUGACGGUACCGUAAGAAUAAGCACCGGCUAAUUACGUGCCAGCAGCCGCAGUAA
rnacentral:rRNA from 1 species